CGCCUCUUCGCCAGAUGUCAUCUGGGAGUGUUCCUGGCUCUUCUGGAGAGAACAUGAUUUACUAUCUCCUAACUGGUGUUGCUGCUUUUGGUGGUUUAUUUUAUGCCUACAGAGUAGUCACUUCAUCCCGCACCAAGUAUAUUGAACAUCUGAAUAUUCUUCAGGAGAGAGCUGAAGGGCGGAAAAACAAACCUUGGUCAAGCAAGGGUGAUGAAGAAGAGACGGCUGAAGUCACUGAAGCAGAGACAGCCACGGAAGAGGCUGAUGCGGUAGCUGCUGCUGCACCCGCAGCACAGGACGAGAGGGCUGGGGUACCCCCAGAAACUGGAGGGGAGAAUGACUUACCGGCUCCAGAUGCACCCCCUGCUGUGGAGGAAGCACAGCAGGAAGCUGCUGCUAAUUUGGAAGUUGCUGCUAAUUCAGAAGCUGCUGCAGUACAAGAAACUGUGAGUGAAGCCUUGGAUGUUGCAGCUUCUUCUGCCCAGGAGGAAAACUUAGACAGUGUCAAGGAAGGAGUAGACUCAGCAGCUCAAGACAUAUCUGACACACCCUCAAGGAACCAGGACGUUGAUGCUGAGGAGUCGGGACAAGCUCCAGAAGUUUCUGUGGAGGAGGAGACACCUGAAGAAGUUGCUAAGGAACCCUAAAG
rnacentral:lncRNA from 1 species